rnacentral:rRNA from 1 species
CAUGCAAGUCGAACGGUAACAGGCCGCAAGGUGCUGACGAGUGGCGAACGGGUGAGUAAUGCAUCGGAACGUGCCCAGUCGUGGGGGAUAACUGCUCGAAAGAGCAGCUAAUACCGCAUACGACCUGAGGGUGAAAGCGGGGGACCGAAAGGCCUCGCGCGAUUGGAGCGGCCGAUGUCAGAUUAGGUAGUUGGUGGGGUAAAGGCCUACCAAGCCGACGAUCUGUAGUUGGUCUGAGAGGACGACCAGCCACACUGGGACUGAGACACGGCCCAGACUCCUACGGGAGGCAGCAGUGGGGAAUUUUGGACAAUGGGGGCAACCCUGAUCCAGCAAUGCCGCGUGCAGGAAGAAGGCCUUCGGGUUGUAAACUGCUUUUGUCAGGGAAGAAAUCCUGUGGGUUAAUACCUCGUGGGGAUGACGGUACCCUGAAGAAUAAGCACCGGCUAACUACGUGACCAGCAGCCGCGGU